GUCGGACGUAUUACGUCCUAUACUAGGUAUCUACCCUUUUAGCUGUAUUUUAUUAAUGCUCUUAAAAAAUACAAUAAUUACAUAGUUUUUCUUUAAAGGUGACAUAAAAAUGCAUAUUUAUUCUUAUAUUUUAACUUAAGUCUUUAAGUCUAAAAUAUAGAUAAUAGGAAGUUUCUAGAAUACAAACGAGUUCAGUGUUACCUAUACCAAUUAAUUGGUUACCUAUAGUUGAGACAGUAAAUCCCGAUUAUAAACUGUAAGUGAUCACGACUAUAGUUUCGAGUGAUUUUAUACAUUUGGCAAUUGAAUGGAAUGUAUUGGCCAAUAUAUAAAAUUUAGUUGGCAGAUAAUGCCAAAGGAUUUAGUAUUAACUCAAAAGAUUCAAAUCUCAAUUAUAGGUCAUUUUAAUAGAACAUGGCACCAUAAAUUUCUUUAACUGGAGACUUGUCUGCAGAUACUAGUAUACUACUGAAGUUGAUGAGCCAAAAAAUAAGAAACAGUCAAGCCAAGCUCAAGAAACUAUUAGUUUUAUUAUGGAUCAUACCUACUGAUUCAGAACCUGAAGAAGAAGGAAACUUUCCACAAGCUGUGGAUGAUAAAGCAGUGAAUCAGUAUCAGAUACUGUAAAUAGUGUAAAUGCAAAAAAUAGUAUGCAUGAAACUACUAAGCGGCAAGCAUCGGAUGACAAUUUGAAUAACAAAAUGGAUUACUACUCAAAUAAAGAUAUAAUGGACUAGCUAGACACUGUAUGCAAUGAGCAAGAUAUUCAAUGGUUAAUCAUGGAGCACUUGCUUUUGAAGAUUGAUAACAUUGCACAGGCUUUAAAACAUAAAAGUGGACUAG